rnacentral:lncRNA from 1 species
CACGUCGGCCUGACUCCGGCAUCCAUUUCUCGGCUGCCAAUUGAGCUGAGAGGAAGGUAGAGAAAAGAAACAAAGAGCCAGGUGGCAGAGAGCCUGGCAGUGCCUGCAGCAGCAUCCACAAUUGCCGAAAGAUGGAAAUAACCCACGUGUCCAUCAACCGACGGAUGGGCACACAGAUUAUGGUGUAGCCAUACAAUGGAAUAUGAUUCAGCCAUAACAAGGAACCCAGUGCUGGUGCAGCCACUGUGGAAAACAGUAUGGAGGUUUCUGA